GCGUUCAGUUCAGCAGCACAUAUACUAACACUGGAACAAUUCACAGAUCAGCAUGGCCCCUGCACAAGGAUGACAUGCAAAUUCGUGAAGCGUUAGUAUUUUUA
ensembl:snRNA RNU6-545P RNA, U6 small nuclear 545, pseudogene